GGUGAAAUGGCUGAGUUAGGCAAUAAACUGUAAAUUUAUCUACGAAAAUCAUUUUCUUUCACCA
rnacentral:tRNA from 1 species